GCCCGUACCGCAAACCGACACAGGUAGUCAAGAUGAGAAUUCUAAGGUGAGCGAGCGAACUCUCGUUAAGGAACUCGGCAAAAUGACCCCGUAACUUCGGGAGAAGGGGUGCUCUUUAGGGUUAACGCCCAGAAGAGCCGCAGUGAAUAGGCCCAAGCGACUGUUUAUCAAAAACACAGGUCUCUGCUAAACCGUAAGGUGAUGUAUAGGGGCUGACGCCUGCCCGGUGCUGGAAGGUUAAGAGGAGUGGUUAGCUUCUGCGAAGCUACGAAUCGAAGCCCCAGUAAACGGCGGCCGUAACUAUAACGGUCCUAAGGUAGCGAAAUUCCUUGUCGGGUAAGUUCCGACCCGCACGAAAGGCGUAACGAUUUGGGCACUGUCUCAACGAGAGACUCGGUGAAAUCAUAGUACCUGUGAAGAUGCAGGUUACCCGCGACAGGACGGAAAGACCCCGUGGAGCUUUACUGUAGCCUGAUAUUGAAAUUCGGCACAGCUUGUACAGGAUAGGUAGGAGCCUUUGAAACGUGAGCGCUAGCUUACGUGGAGGCGCUGGUGGGAUACUACCCUAGCUGUGUUGGCUUUCUAACCCGCACCACUUAUCGUGGUGGGAGACAGUGUCAGGCGGGCAGUUUGACUGGGGCGG
rnacentral:rRNA from 1 species